ACCGCAGGUGGAUUGAGUUGAGCCCGCCCACUUCCGCCCCAUGAGCCAAUGGGAGAGAAUAGUCAAAUUGUGCCACGCCCCCUGCCCCUUGCGACCACCCAUGGUUGCGGAGCCGCCGCAGGCGAGCCUGGUGCGCGCUCCGAGUGCGCCCGCGCAGGUACGGAGCGCUUCUGCCCCGGGAGACCACUUAGAGACUGCAGGAGCCUGUGCAACAGGUGGUCCCUAAGCCGCUGCCGCUGGAACCGCAGACUGGGGCUCGGAGGAUCGCUGCAGGCCCGCUGGCCUGGCCUCCGCGCCGAGCCCCUCCCUCUCGCCCUCGACUCCAGUCACCUGCUCGUGUCGCCAGUGGUGAAGGCAGAGAAAUCAGUACCUGCCACCUGUCCCCGCGGUGGCGGAAAGGGACGCCCAUGGUAGCCAGGGCUGCGCCAGGAUGAAGUCAGGAGCCAGGAGCUCAGGACGAGCCUCCUGCAGGCGGCAGGAAGCCAGGUCCCCGAGCCAUCGCCUGCUGCCUCCCUGGGUGCACAUUAGCGGGAAGCUGGAAUCAGAAGCAGAGCCAGACCCUGAGCUCAGGCACAACAACAUGGGAUGCAGUGGACCCAGGGACAUCUUAGCUGCUCCACCAGAUGCCGGCCCUCCCCCUCUCUGUCUCUCAAAUUAAAAAAAAAAAAUCUAAA